rnacentral:rRNA from 1 species
GACGAACGCUGGCGGCGUGCUUAACACAUGCAAGUCGAACGGAAAGGCCCUGCUUUUGUGGGGUGAUCGAGUGGCGAACGGGUGAGUAACACGUGAGUAACCUGCCCUUGACUUUGGGAUAACUUCAGGAAACUGGGGUUACUACCGGAUAGCAGCCCCUGCUGGAUGGAGGGGGUUGGAUAGUUUCGGCGGUUGGGGAUGGACUAGCGGCUUAUCAGUUUGUUGGUGGGGUAGUGGCUUACCAAGGCUGUGACGGGUAGCCGGCCUGAGUGGGUGACCAGCCACAUUAGGGCUGCGAUACGGCCCAGACUCCUACGGAUGACAGCAGUGGUGAAUAUUGCACAAUGGGCGGAAGCCUGAUGCGGCAACGCCGCGUGCGGGAUGACGGCCUGCGGGUUAUGAACCGCUUUCGCUUGAAACGAAGCGUGAGUGACGGUAAUGGGUAAAGAAGCACCGGCUAACUACGUG